CCUUCGGGUGACCCAUUGUCUCCCACAUUCAAUCACCAACAAAUUCUCAUUUCAAUCUAUUCCCUCGAUAAUGACCACAGCUAAUUAAGUCCUCCUUCCACUUGUAAUCUCUCAUCCCCUUGACCCCCACUCUAAAAAACCCACAGUGCUCUUGGUCAAUUUUGCUAGUUUUCAUUCUGUUCGAGGUUUUGGUCUUUUUGUGUUCCAAAUCACCCUAUACCCAUUUGUAGAAAGGCUUCUUGGUCCUCUCGCAUUGGAGGG